rnacentral:lncRNA from 1 species
AACUGAUAAGUGACGAUUUUGAAAAACUUGUGCUCUUAGGGCAUGUAGACAACUCAAUAUGUUUGUUUUUUUUUUACUAUAAGAAACUUCCUAUAAAAUUUUAGUUGAAAAUUAGAAGAUAUUGGGAAAUAGCUACACCUCAUGUUUUUUGUUGGUUUUGUUUGUUUUUUUGAAGGGUGUGAUUAUGGGUUUUCAUGCUCAAUGGUACUUUUAGGUGGAAAAGAAUGGAAGUGAGAUAAUAACAAUUAAAAAAAAAAAAUUGGAAUGUAGUGUAAAAUUUUAUUUUAUUUUUAGAAAAUAUAUAUUUUAUUUCUUGGAAGAAAAUAAAUAUAAGGAUAAGGAGGAGAAGACAUAUUUACACACACUCUCUUUAUCUCUCUCUCUCUCCUCACAUGAAUAAAACUAUAUAAUAAGUAUCAAAAAAUAAAUCGAUGACUUUUAUUUUAUUCGAUCGAAUUUAAAAUAAAAGUCGAAUUAAUUAAUUUUAAUUUUAAUCAAAAAGUAUGAACCUCUAAUAUAUGAUAUCAAAAUUCAUAAGCAAUUAAUCACUAUAUCCAAUUCAAUUUAAUUUUAACUUUUCUCUCCGUCCAAAUAACAAACAAAUGAAGCAAAUAAUUUAAUUGCUUCCCUUUUUUUCUUUUUAUUUUUUUGGUCCAUUUUUAAAAUAAGAAAACUCAAGCAUUUGUAUCAAGUCAACACAUUAAUUAAGCCGUGUGAUGCUUUUUACUAAAAAUAGGGCAAAUUGAUUUUUCCAAAAAUCUUAAUUAUUUUGCUAUUCCAAAAUCAAUUUAUGUGUAAUUUAACCAAAAAAACAUUAUGUGGGGGUGGGAGGAUAAAUAGCUGCGGAGUGAAAAGAAUAAUAAACUUGAAAUAUUAGUUAUAAAAUUAGCGAAGACAAUUUCCUCGUUUUUAAGGAAGAAAUGUAUGUUUCAAAAGGGGUCAUAAAAUGAACUCGGAAGGGAAGCUACAAGAGCAGGAGGAACACUUUGAUUAAUCGUAGUCAAGUCGAGUGAUCAAUGAUAUAGAUUGGGUACAAUUACUGAUACUCGUUGGUGGAAAGAGACAAUAUCUCAUAAACAAAAUGUGUGCAAGAAGAUCCAGACAUCAAAAUUAUUAAAAAAACAAAUUAAUUUACCAAACAUGAAAAAAUUGAAAUUUGAUAGAUUGGAUACCAUUACUGAUACUCGUUGGUGGAAAGAGACAAUAUCUCAUGAACAAAAUGUGUGCAAGAAGAUCCGAACAUCAAAACUAUAAAAAAAGAUAUUAAUUUACCGAACAUGAAAAAAUUGAAAUUUGAGUCGGAGUCUUUUGACUAUCAUAUUUACCCUCAACUUGAUAUAUCUUAGCUGGAGCAAAUAUGUAACAAAGUGCAAUUCAAAUACAUGAAAGCUCAAAUUUGUAGGUUGACUCCAAAUAUGUGACAAAUUUAUGACUUAUUUUGGUUGCAAAAAAUAAUAAAUUAUAUUUAAUGUACAAGUUAGUUUGAGUUCACACAGGCCAUACUAUAUAGUAGCAUAGCAUGCAUAGCUUGGACAUAGAUGAAAUACUUUAUAGAAGUCUUUACAUUGAAUGUGGGGUCUCUCAUUAAUAAUAUACUCCCUCCGUCUCAAAAUACCUGUCAUAAUAAAAAUUCAAGAAAAAAAUAAUCAAUUUUCUCUCAUUUUACCAUUAGCGUCAAUUGUUCUUAAAGACUAUAAAUACCUCGACUACGACAUGUAAAUAGAGUAUAACAUUCAGAUAUAAAUAAGGAUGCAACAACAACAAUAUAUCCAGUAAAAUCACACUAAGCAGGAUUUGAGGAGGAUAGAACGUAACGCAGACCUUACUACUUCCUCAAUGAGGUAGAGAGGUUAUUUAUAAUUAACCCUCGGCUCAAGUAUAAAAGGACGAAAAUAAGAUUAAAAUAAUCAAAUACCCUUCUUAAUUAAUAUUUUCUUAAGCAUGUAAAUGAAAAAUACGACAAGUAGUUUGAAACGGAGGAAGUAUACAGAUUUAGUAGUCAAAUACCUAUUCUGAUUAAUAUUUUCUUAAAGGUCGUGUAAAUGAUGAACACGAUAAGUAUUUUGAGACAGAUGGAAGUAUAUAGGUUCAAAGGGAGUUAAAACAAUUUUAUAUAGUAUAGCUUAUAGGUAGAUACAUUAAUUAAAAGAAUAUAUGUUCAUAUCAAAACAAAGUAAGGGAGAAGACCACAAACUUAAUCAUAUGAAAAGGACAAUAAACACAUCAUUUUCAAAUCCUAAUUACAUCCCCCACACCCCUACCCAACCCCCACCCCUCUCAUGGCCAACUUCCCCCUUAUUUAAACCUCUCUAUUCCUCUAAACCCUCUCCACACAAUUCAUUGUCAACUUGAAAACUCAUAAUAUUUCUCUUUUCUCCUCCUUGAUCUUCAACAACAACAAAACAAAAAAAAAAAUUGCAAGAAAAACAAAAGUUGAGUUCAUUGCAUAUUUCUAGAACUUAUCUUGAUGAAUCAAUAUUGUAAUAGUCCUUGUUCACCACUAAUGGUUCAUGAACUUGAACAAGAAGACUUGUUUGCUGGUAGAUGUAUACUAGUAAAUGGUCCUGUUAUUAUUGGUGCUGGUCCUUCAGGACUAGCAGUUGGCGCGGGCCUUAAACAACAAGGGGUUCCCUUUGUGAUCUUAGACCGCGCCAACUGCAUUGCAUCCUUAUGGCAAAACAGGACGUAUGAUCGCCUUAAACUUCACCUCCCGCGACAAUUCUGUGAAUUGCGUUACUUCCCAUUUCCACAAAACUUCCCUGAGUAUCCUACCAAGUAUCAAUUCAUUAGCUACCUUGAAUCUUAUGCCAAGAACUUCGAGAUCAGCCCACGAUUCAAUGAGUCGGUCCACUCUGCUAAGUAUGAUGAAACAUGUGGUUUAUGGAGGGUGAAGACAGUGUGUAGAAAUGGUUCAGUCAUUGAAUAUAUAUGUAGGUGGCUUGUGGUGGCUACAGGAGAGAAUGCAGAAAGAGUAGUGCCCGAAUUCGAAGGAUUAGAAGAUUUUGGUGGACAUAUUAUGCAUGCUUGUGACUAUAAAACAGGGGAAGUUUAUGAAGGGAAGAAUGUGUUAGUUGUUGGAUGUGGUAAUUCAGGCAUGGAAGUUUCACUUGAUCUUUGUCACCAUAAUGCAAGUCCAUUCAUGGUCGUUCGAAGCUCGGUAAGUCUCAUUCAUCUAAUCCAAAAUCUUUCAUGACUUACAUCUGCUAAAGAAGAAAAAAAAAAACACUCAAUUUCCUUCAUAAAUCUGCACACGACAUAUCGAAUUCCUCAUGACACAUACAUAAGAGGUCACUCCUUUAAUAAUCUACAUGAUUUACGUUUUCUAAGAGAAAAAAACACUCAAUUAACUUGAGCGCGUUUUGUCUAUGUCCUUCAUUUGCCAGAAAAUCUGCACUUGACAUCUCUAAUUCCUCAUCACAAGUCUAUAUAUAUAAUCAUCAUAUGAUAUGUAAUGAAAUAAUCAAUCUAGAAAAUCUGCACCUGACAUCGCUAAUUCCUCAUCACAAAUAUAUAAUCAUAUGAUAUCUAAUGAAAUAAUCAAUCUUUUCAUGAAACAGGUUCAUGUUUUACCAAGGGAAAUACUCGGAAAAUCAACGUUUGAGUUAGGAGUAUCAAUGAUGAAAUGGCUAUCAAUUGAUGUAGUUGACAAGAUAUUACUAGUUGCAGCAAGGUUACUUCUUGGAAACAUAGAAAAGUAUGGUUUAAAAAGGCCAUCCAUUGGACCUUUACAACUCAAGAAUACAGAAGGAAAAACUCCAGUUCUAGACAUAGGUGCAUUACAAAAGAUUAAAACAGGAGACAUAAAGAUAGUUCCAGCAAUCAAAAAAUUUUCUCAAGGAAAAGUAGAAUUUGUCAAUGGAGAAAUACAAGAAAUUGAUUGUAUCAUUUUGGCAACAGGAUAUUGCAGCAAUGUUCCUUCUUGGUUAAAGGUAAGAAAAAAAAAUAUUUUUUUUAUUUUUAUUUUGGUUGUGUAUUUAUUUUUUAAUUUAUGGAUUGUUGUGACAGUUAUGGAAGUUGGUUUUUUUCUUUGUAGAUUCUCUGUUCCUAUUUCUUGUAGCAUUGUUAUGUAUGAUCAGGUGGAUGAUACACGUAUUCUUUUAUACUAUGGUAAUUAAUAUUUUCAGAAACAAGAUUGAGCUUUCCAAGAAAAUAGUUGAAUGGAUUAGAUCAGAGAUCUGAGCAGCAAAUAAAAUUCUGUUUUUUGUCCUUUUUUCUAUGUUCAAGAAUAUUUUCAUUGAAUUUUGGUAUAAUGAGUUUGUAUUCAUUUUUAAAAUGCAGGAAAGUGAAUUCUUUUCAAGGGAGGGAUUUCCAAGAAGUCCAUUUCCAAAUGGAUGGAAAGGAAAAGCUGGUUUAUAUGCAGUUGGAUUUACAAAGAGAGGACUUUCUGGUGCAUCUUUGGAUGCAAUUAAAGUAUCACAAGAUAUUGGAAAAAUUUGGAAAGAAGAAAUUAAACAGAAAAAUCAAUCUGUUGCUGUUGCAUGUCAUAGAAGAAACAAGUUAUCUUCCUUCUAGUAAACGACAACAACAUACUCAGCAUAGUCCUACAAGUAGAAUCUGGAGAGGGUAGUGUGUACGCACAUCUUACCUCUAUCUAUUGUUUCUAAUAGACCCUCCAAGUUACCCUUCUAAUAUAAUUUUUUUAUAUUUUUUUUUUAACUUUUUACCUUUUCUUCCUGUAAUUUUUACUUGCAAAGUAACCAAAAAAAAAAAAAAGUAAAGACCAUUUUGUGACAAGAGACAAACACAGAAAGCAGCCCUGUCCAGAGAAAUACCCAAAUUCUUCUUUGGGCAUUUUAGUAGGAAGAAGAGGCUUUUUUUAGCAUCUACUUCUAAGGAGAAAUUUGUACAAAAGGUUUAUUAAUAUAUGUACUAAUAGAAAAAAUGUGACUAUAUAUAUAUAUAUAUAUCCUUUUCUUGGUAAGUAAUUUAACCAGUAUCUUUUAAAUAGUAAGGGAGGUUAUACAGUAGUCCCUAGCCAAUAUAUAUAUAUAUAUAUAUAUAUAUAGAUUAUACACAAUUCCACACAUAUAUUAUGUAAAUCAUGAGCUAAGUUGUAGAGACUCUUCAAAAAGAUCGAUGGAUAUGUAUCGUUGGGGGAAUCUAACAUAGAUGUGACAACAUUUUUGGAGUCCGAGCAACAUAAAUAAUGAGGGCUUCAAGGCCUGUGAAGGGAAAUUAACCUUCUGAUAUUGUAAAAGUUGGUUAAAGAAUGGUCAAGGGUAAUAGGAAGGUUCUCUCACUCAAUAAAUUUUGGUCCACCUAAGUCAUUUAUUCUACUGAUGGGAUCUAUCUCUAGAACAUGGUCCACCUAGGGGCCCCAUUAAAUAUGGUGGACCAAAAUAUCCAUAAUUCCACAACAUCCAUUCUUUAAAUUUAAAGAUGACAUAGACUUUUCACUAGUUUAGUUCAAGAAAAUACCUAUGCAUAACUCUUAGAGCACCUCCAUGUUGCCAAGCACAUGGAUAGAGCCCACAGAGAAGAGAGAAACAUAGGGGGUAAAAAGAUCCCCUUGCCUUCAAGUCAAACUUGGAAGGUAUUCUGUCUAUAUUGCUAGGACUCUUUAAAAAUGUCACUAUGUGCAUGUCGGAUCUAUCCUCCGAAAGUAGCACAUUUUUUAACCAGUCUUAGCAACAUACAAUUCAAUGGUAAAAGCACAACAUGUUAUGAGUGUUUUACACUUUGUUGUGGACAAUAACCUGGUAUAUAGAAAAGGUAAAGGAACAAACUCACUAUUCAUUGAGUUUCGAACCAUGCACCAGCUAACUAGCCCUCAGAAAUUUCUCGAUUAUAAGAACGAAAAAGUCAAACUUGGAGAAUAGUUUGAUACUAUUUGAUCUUUCUAAAUCUUUCACAUGUAUAAUAUAAUAUACUUUUAAGAGGUUUCUCAAAUUGGAUAGAAUUUAGAACACCAUACCUCAGACCAAUGCCAUAUGAGUCUAGCUAGCUCAGUCAUUGUCACCUAGUAAAGUGAGAAGAUUAUCUUGAACUUUAUAGGGGUACAACUUCAUGGAUUGGAUAGUUCAAAGAGUCAUCCUGAAGUUAUCAUAUUCCCCUCUUCACAAGUCAAAAUAUUUAUAACAUUGACUCACAAUAUCUCAUUAUAACAGAUUGCCUUACCAAAAAUAGAAAAAUAUGAAAAAUAGAAACAAUGAAUAAUUUUAUCCAUCUAGCCUAGCCACACCUAUCAGCAAAUCCUAUAUGAAUCAUUGCCAUGUUAGCAUCCUAAAUUUUUUUCUCCUGUAUCAAUCUUCUUUAUUUGGUUCCUGUACAAUGUCCAUAAACUGAAAUGUCCUAAGAGCAUCACAUUGUAACAAUAGAUGCCUCGUUCAUCAUUCGAAUUUUUAAUUCUCUCUAUCUUUUCUAAUAAGAAUCUAAAAGAGAUAGGAUGAGGGAGACAGAAUAUACAUUUGAUAGUCAGUUCGAUGAAUAAAAAUCUCGAGAAAACUAUUCAAUUGAAUCAUUGGGGAAGGGGGAAGAAGAAGGUUGAUUAUAGGUUCAGAGGAGUGGUCCAUGGUUGUCUCCUUGGUAACAAAUAUUAUUUCCUGUUAUGUAACAAUCUUAUAAUAUAAAAAAAUGGGAAUUGAACUUCUUUUCAAUGAGAUCCAACAUGACUUAAAUUUCCCAUUGCACAAUGAACAAAGAACAUAAAAAAAAUUCCACUGACAGAAAAGAUUUAAACAAAAAGAAGAAAAUCCAAAGAAGUAGUACAUAUAUAGACAACCCAUAUGAGUUCCCAUGCUGUUGAAUCAACCAUGCAGCAAACCUUUAUCUACUGUCCCAUCUAGAAUUGCUUCACCACCACAUAAAAAAAAUUCUUGUAAAAACAAAUAUAGAUAUAUUAUAUACAAAAAAAGACAGUUUCAAACCUUAAAUUAAUGAAUGUAAAACACACACAGCUCAUGUUCCUCAACUUGAUCCAUGCAAAGUGUUUGAAUUUAACACUUCUCUACCAGGAACCUACAGUUUCUAUUAUGUCUUUUUGCAGUGUAACUUGUAUUUUUUUCCACACCUUGCAACCAGGGGCAGAGCUACAGUUCUGCCUACGGAUUCGACAUUAUUGAGAAAUACAAGUAAAAGCUUUUAGAUGAGAUGAUCAAACACUUCAACAGACACAACUCAAUAGCUGUAUUUGUGUUUUAAAAUUUAUUUACUACGAUUAGAUAAGAGUGUAAUCCCACCUGCAAGGUCUGCGGAGGGUUUAGUGUUUGAACACCUUACCUCAUCUCGUGGAGGUUAAAAUUUAUUUAAUAUGUAUAAAUAAUAUAUCCAUAAAUCAGUAAGCUACAUUUUCUAGAAUUCAGAACUCGUAAACUCAAAAUUCUUGUUCCGCCUCAGCUUGCAAACCUAUUAUUAGAUAUCACUUUUACCGAGAGAGAAAUACACAUGGCCUGGGUCACUAACUAUAUCCUCAAAGUUCCAUGAGAAAGCCCAUUCCUUCAUGCCCUGAUAAGCAGUCAAUUUGCAAGUGUUAACUUGAGUUGGAUGGUGGACACUACAUCUUUGUAUCUUACUGUUGCAUGUCCUACUAGAAGAGUGUGUAUCCUGUGAUUGGUGAAGUUAAAAUAUAUGAAGCUUAUAUAGGUGUCCCAUAUAAAACAUGAGAUAAUAGUGGUGGAGCACCCUUGUCCAAGGGGUGUCAAUUUGUUGAAAAAUCACAUUGUAUAGAUAGAUAAGAAAAUUCAUAUAUACUAUAUGUUGAAUCUCCUUUACUUCUUCGUGUAUUUUUACCGACUUCCCUUGGUGAAAUCACAGUCCACCAAUCAUCUUUCAUAAUCAUUGACUAAUACUUUUAACCAUUUCCAAAAGAAAUUUGAAAAAUGAAUUUACAUAUCAUAGUACUUUGAACAUGGAUUGAAACGAUGUUUCGAAAAAUAUAAAUCAUCUUUCAGACUUCACACUGGAGAUAGGUUGAAAUGACUCUUGAUAAACUACAUAUCACAUUCAGUUUGAACCAGAAGACAAACAGAACAAUAUCUUAAGCAAAGCUAAAUCAAAUGUGAUAUCAUGGAUUUACUAUCAAAAGCACAAGCAUUUGAAACUAAAUCACAUACAUGAAGAGUUGUUUUUACCAAUGGUCAACAUAGUUAAUUAUUAUAAAAGGAAUUACAAUUCUAUCAAAAAGAGUUAAUUCUGAUGUGUGUUUAAUUAGACACUAUACACGUACAUGAAGAGUUGCAAUCACCAACAUUUUUUUGAUAACCAUGGUGUACGGGUUAGCUCGCACGCACCUCGACUACUCUAUGGGAUACUUGCUACCUUCCACCAGCAUAGGUACCGGAUAACUUUGUUCACCAAAGCUUGAGUUGCAAAUGCCAAAGUUCUACCAUCAAAUUAUUCACUUUUUGGAAAGCAUUUGAUCAAUUUCUCCACUCUCGUUGUACAUGCUAACAAUUUUCUUUGCAUAUUCAGGCAUAUGUCUGUCCGCUCUGCAAUUACACAAAAAACACGUGUGAGAAAAAAUUAAUGUAAUCCAUCAUAAUGGAACAAAUAUGAAUUUCUACAGACCUUUCUUUUCCCCAUUUGCGGACUACGUUUAAGUAAUUUCUGAUUGUGUGAUAAUCUAGCGAGUAACGUGCAAAUUCUAGACCCUUCGGUCCGACCUGAACCAAGACAAACAAGUUUAAGCACAGGGAAUUUGUUGUCCUUUCUGAAAGUAACAAGUCAGUGAACAAAAAGUUCUUACUAUGUUGAGAAGAAAUGCUAUUAAAUUUCCAACAAACUUUGGAGCAGGUUGAGAAGGACCUCUUCCUGGAAAUUCAGAAAGUUUCUGCAUAAGUCUUGUGAGAUUACUGAGAAGUUGUUCAACAAAAAUAUUUACUUCAAGAACAUGUCAGAAAAGGAUUUACUUCUCGGGGUUCUGCCUUCAGCAUACUGUAAUCAACGGGGAGUAUCAUAACAAAUGAAGUAAUUGAAGCAACUUAAAUAGCUAAAUUCACUUGACUUACAAGGAUUAAAACAAAUUAAGGUUAAUCUUAAAUAAACAGUCGAUGAGAUGUGUAACAUUUCAUACUUUUUAACAGCAUUCAAAGCGAAAAGGGAUAGGGAAAAAGGUCAGAUGUUUGAUACUUGCACAUGGACCCAACAAAGAACAGUACAAAACCCGAGAGCAGAUAUCUAAUUCUGAACCAGCAGCAGUAUGUGUACAGAGAGAGCCAGCUUAGUAACAACUUAUGAAAUGAAUAAAUAUCACAAAAUACCACAUACCAAAUUUUGCUUCAUCAUCUGCCUUCACGGUUUCCACGACAAAUGGACGCCGCUUACCCUGAAAAAAGAUGCAUGCUUUGAAAUAAGUAUAUCACAAGAAAGAGUUAAAAGAAAAAGUUGUGAGAUGAAGCAUCAUGUAUUACACUACUUAUCGUCGGAGUAAUUUCCAAGAGGUUCUCGAUAAGGUUUAGCAUUUCUCUACCACGUUCAUUUCUGCAUUUGGAAUGUGCAAAAGUAUAUCUUAAACAAGAUUAUUUAAGGGUAGAGCUAUCAGCAUGUCCUUUUAAUCUGUCAACGGCUUAUAAGAUUUGGCAACACUUUACCUGACAGUAACAUACUGGGGAUGCUGCAUCAUGCUGAUUCCACUGUAUUUCGGCACACCCAUGUAUCCCACCACCAAAUCCUGACAAGUUCCUUGAAGGUAAGAUUUGAAAUGUUGGCAUAUGCACCGGGAUUAUCAAGCUUUGCUUUUAUUUAAACGAAAUAAUCUGUCACGUUAAUGUUUGGAAACUACUGUAAUAGAGAAAGACAUCGACUAAUAAAUCUUCCAAGGAGCAAAAAUACUUAAUUUUCAUGGAUAAUAAGAUAUGCAGCAUCGAAUCUUCAAUGAUACGAUUCUAGAAACCUUAAAGAGUAAACUUAUGACGGAACCAUAAUGCAUUACCAUCCAAGACCAAAAUGAGUUUGCUAAAAGAUCCCCCUUGGACCUCAACCACUGAAUCUUAUCUCCAGAUCUGUCACAAGCUUUCACUUGAAAACAGUUGGAGCAAAUGAGUGGCCAGGUCUAGCUCUAGAACCUAUAAAUUCCUCAAUGAUCGAGGCUGCCUUUGCAAAACCUCUUUCCCUGUCAGAAAACUACGCACUAGAAAAAGAUCUGUUUGUGAGACAUAAAGAGAGAAGAGAUCUAUUCAAGAUUAACGAUUUGAUGACUAUAAUACAGACCUAUUUAUAAGUUCCAAACAUAGUAGACAAAUAGACAUUUGCAAAUGCAGGAAAUUACACCAGUAAAAUUUAAUAUUCCACCAGUAACACAUCACCUUUCAGAAUCUAAGACUAAUCAAAGUAGCAUUUAAGAGUAUGCUUUCCUUUGCUAUUUGAAAGUCUAACACAUGUGUAUGUACUGUGCACAUGCUUCUCUUGGAUGUUUAUUUUGUCUGUUUCUUUGUGAAAAUUGUAUUGUGCAAUAUAUCAGGGCCUUUAAUUAUGAACAAAGAACUCACCGCCAAGCCAUUUGUGUAGUCAAAACAGCUGUAAUAGAAGGAAAUAACAGUUUACAGAUCAGCACAAGUUCAUAUUCUGAAGAAUGAGAGACAGGAAUGAAAUAUAUGAUAAAUGCGAAUGUAGGAAACGUGAAGCUUGUAUAGAAUGUUCAUUUAGACUUCUCCAACUGCAUAGCAUCUUUACAUUUGUAGACAAGCUGAAAUCCAUGUUGACAUUGUCUAAAAGAAUGUGUUAUUAGUUUGAUUGAUUUCUUUGUUGCCUAAACUGACACGGCAGGGAAUGCUACCAUAUGCAAUAAACCCAACGACAAGUAUAGUUUUACAUGGCUUAUCCAACUUGAUUUAACCCAAUUGUCCAUAUCAGAGCGACAACUUACAAGUGAGAACCAGAGAUCACAUAGAACGUAAUAAGCCCAUGACACUACCUUCGUGCACAUACUAACAUACUUAUGUAUACUUCUCCCUAGUUUAUGCUCCACAAGUGAAGGAAUUUCUCAAUACGAAUGUAACUGAAAAAUAAAUAUAUUAACUAUUAGGAAGAAAGACGGUUCCUGAAGAUUUUGUUUGUCAUCAAAUUUGUUAAUCUACAUAAUCUUUGUCUGCACACCAAAUUUUCUUCCACAGAUUUUCACCCUUACUCCAUGAACAAAGUAUCUAGAAUAGUUUGACCAAGAACGGAUAUUACGAGCAUUAUUGAGAUCAUUGUUUCUUUUGAUUCAUAAGUGGGUCCAAAAAUGAGAUGGGAAGUUACAUUUCUAUGAACUUCAUAAGAAAAAUAGUUGGCAUGCAAUAAUUUUUCGAGUAAUUAACACAUUUUUUUAAAAAAGAAUAUCCAGUAGAUCGUCUAAGUAGCUCACUUAGAGAAUGUCGCCUACGACGGUUUGACUACAUCCCACAUAAACUUCCAUAUCCAUAUAGGUGAUACCAACUAGAUAGGAUGCAGUCAUUGAAGCAUAGUUGUUGCUACGCUUGCAUAAGUGCUUGUCAAGGGUCUUUUUAUUCUUGUUGAAAACUAGUAUAUCCACGUAGGGAUAAGGGUGAUAUUUCACAUCUUUAGUUUGCUACGGUUCCCUGCGGUCCAAACCCGGUGCCGCUUUAGGUUAGGGAGCUGGACGAUACCUUAUAACACGAAUUAUUAGAUAUUGGAAAAAAAUUGACCUAACAGAGCACAAUGGAUGCUGAGGAUACAUAAAGCCACCCAAACUAAUGUAGGAUUAAUUUAUAGUUGAUUGACUAAUUGGAUCAACUCAUAGAGGGAAAGAAAGAAUCAUUUCCAUGAGCACAAAGAGAUGGAACAAAAAAAUUAUAUUCAGACUUGUCCACCACCGACCUCUGACCCAAAAAGUCUACAGGUUAAGUAUGCAGAUAUUGUUUAAAGGCUUCAGUAAAUCAAUAAUAAGCAAUUGAAAUACCUGUAACAAGAUGGUGCAAUAACAUCAACCAAGUCAUUUGCUGGUAAACAGAAAUAGGGAACCUGCUUAGUGAAAUAUAGAUCUGAAUAAACAGCAUUCAAAUAAAACAAAAGAUACGAAAAAGAAGAUGCUAUUUUACCUCUUCAAUAUGGCCAUCCAAAUGCUUCAGAUGGACCUGUUGAAAUGUAGAGCUUAGACAGAUGCUUCAACUGAUUAGAAAACUAUCACAUGCAAUUCAAUAGUAUAUCCUUUAAAUCAUAGUAAAAGAAGAAAGCUAUAAUAUGGUUUACAGGAUUAACUGUCAAAUGUUUUCAUCUAUAAGGUGAUGAAGCACAUGUGAGCUUAAUUUAGUCUUUCUCAUUUGCAAGAUCCUACUUAUUGGUAAAUUUCUGAUCCAACAAAGGAUAGUAACCCUCCAUCAAAUUCAACACGACACCAGCGGACGAGGCAUGGUACUUGAGAUAUUAAUUUGAUUUGUGUAUUUUAUAGGUAGUAGUUGAGGAAAAUUUUAAAAUAUUUUUGUAAACGAAAUUAGGUUGACAUAGAAAUGCCAAAUCAAACCUUAAUAAUUUGACUAUUCAAACAUAUUAAAAUUUGAGAAACUGAUGAAGUUGUAUAAAGUUAUAUUGUUAGUAAGAUGGUGUCAAAGAUUUUUGUACGCCCAAAAUAAAGAUGUGUCAUAUAAAAUUUAUCAGGAUGGAGACAAUAUGAUAUAUUGAAGUGCAUCUUCAUGAGUGAACUUACCUCACCAACCAAAUGAAAACAUAUUCUAGAAAAGCACCCUAGUUAUCAGACUAAGAAAGGCUGUUUACUGAUGUUUUAGAAUACAACAGAAGCAGAAAACAUAUCGUCAUGACAAACACAGAAUGUAGAAGUUGGUUUCCUUGUUCUUAUACUUGAAUGGAUAGAAUUCCAAGAUCACAGAGGUUAUGCAUAAGUUGUCUCACAAUGAAGCUCAGCUUGUCAUAAAAGAGUAACAGGAGCUUACUUUUUUUUCUUUAUGGAAGAAAUAUAACAGUAGCACACCUUGUAGUCUUGCAUAAACUCAUAGUGGAGAACUGUUUCAGGUUCACUGCUAGCAGCCUUCAGAAAUUUAUCUAAACCUUCUCGUGGUCCAUUAUCCACUGUUGAGAAAUGACAGUUAGUAUAGGUCUAUAUUGACUAAAAAUAUCUAAGAGGGGAAAGGAGAUUCUAAUAAAAAGCAGUUUAUAGAGCAUCCCUCUUACUAUAUACUCCCUCCAUUUCAAUUAAUUGUCUUAUUCCUUUUCAGUCCGUUUCGAAAAAAAUAUUUCUUUCCCUUUCCUGAAACUCUAUAAUUCCAACUUUCCACAUAGCCUGUUUGAAACCACGAGUUAAGAGGUAUUUUGGUACAUUCUACAUAUUUAUAGUUUAAGAGUUAAGACCACGAAAUUCAAAAAGUUUUCUUUACUUUCUUAAACUUUGUGACAAGUAAAAACCACACAAACAAGUUGAAACAGAGGGAGUAUCAUAAAAGAUUCCAUUGAAUCUUUGUCCAGUUUGUCCACUUACUAUAUGUCUUAUUUUCUCUCCCUGCUUCUGUGGUGGACAAACUGAAAAAAUUAAGUUGACUCUUUUUUGAGAUACUAACAACAAACAAGUACUCCUACUGGUGAUGUUAAUAGAUCAAACUUUUUGUUAUUUAAUUUAAAAAAAGAUCAAAAUUAGAUCUCCAAACACACGUAAUUACAAACAUAAUCAAAUUUCAAGCAGUUGGUAGUUAUAUUAGAAUUGAUCAAAGAUGUAGGAAAGGAGUCUAUGAAUACCACCGACUACUCACCACAGUUAGUGCCUAGAACAUAAAGUUUUUCCAGAUUCAAAUAUUGCUCCACUGAUCUUAAAGCUGCAAGUUAGGAAAUUGUUCUGCUUAAAAUACAGAGAUGUAAAUUGUAAUGACAACAUCAAGUUUGAAGCAGAGAUGAAGAGAUCAUAACAACUUGGAUACCUUGAACUUGGCAGCCAACCCCGCAGAAGAGAAGGCGCUUUACACCAGCUGCCUGUUUCCAGGAAACAAUACUGCUUACUUCAACAUUUGAACUACAAGUUAUACUAUACACUUGUGUGACAAUCCUCAGUGAAAACUGGAAUCUCUUAAAGCCCAGUUUUUAAUGCAUUAGAGCAUGCACGACUAGAAAGUGUGAAAUUCCAUGAUUGCAUUGUUAUGAAAAGAAAUAACAAGAAGCCUACCCUUACAAGUGUGAUAUGCAGAUGGUUGAUGCUUACCAAAAGAAAGGGAGAAAGCAUUUGGGGAGAAAUAAGCUCAAAUAGUUAAAAUAAAGUCAAAAAAUAACCUACGACCUUCAAAUGGAUAGAGAGGAAAAAUUUGGCAAAAAGACUCUGAAAUUGUCAGGAAAGGAAUUCAGCUCGAACCAUAAUAUGGAACAAAUCAGAAAAUCAAAAGAGCUUAUCUUAAUAAAAUCCCCGAUUGGGGCAAUUACAGUAUUAGAUUGUGGUGGUCUGACGGGGGGAGGGGGGGUGAUAGUAAAGCUAAUUUGGUGGUGUGGUGAAGAAUAAGAAAGCAUAGCUACACAAGUUCCAAUUACCUAUUGAGGAGAGAUAUGGCAUCUUCAAUCCAUGACAACAUGCUCCAUUAAGAAUUCAAUAGAGUUACACAGAUUAUAAAUGCAUUGAUGACAACAGAACAAUCAAAGAUUCUGAUGAUAAUGGAAGUGAAAGAAGAAACCUCAACUAAGGCAAGAGUAUUUAGAUUAGGAGACAGUGUCGGCUUAACACCUUUAGCUGCUAUAACUUCCUCUGGAGUCCUAUUAGAAACAUAAAAUUAAAGUUGAAGAUCGAAAUGGUUAAAUUAACAGGUAAAAAAUCAACAUGAAUACAAAUAGCUCAGGAAUUCCCAGUCACAAACCUUGCCAGGACAGGUCGAGGAGCAAAUCGAUCUUCUGGAUCACUAAACAACAUAAAAAAAAGAAGGUAAAGAGUCCAUGAAUUGCUGGGUAAUAAGUAGAAGAAAGAAACCAAAAUUUCAAGUGCAUAACUCAUGUACAGUGAAAUUAACCAGGAGGGAGAACUAAAUUAUUUUUAACCAAAUUGGAUGCAAGCCAUACCUCUGAACACAAAUAACAGCUUCCACCAUCCCAGCUUUUAGCAUCUCCACGGCAAUAGUUGUCACUAUCCCCGUCCAUUGAGCUCCUGAAUGCCAGAAAGAAAAAGAUAGGAAUAUGACCAGAUGAUUCAUAGAAAUUGGCACAUUCUUUUAGUGAUCUAGAGAGCACAAGAAAACAAGCAACAGUAAAUUGAACUAGAAUACUACAUAAGAGCAUCCAAAGUUGUACCUUCCACAGGCUUAGUUUUACGAGCAUACAAUAGAUUCUCAUACACCCCCAUAUAAAUCUCAUCCAAGGAAUCUUCUUUCCGUCCUCGUCCAUGGACAAUAGGUUCCAAAGCCUAAAGAAGAUGAUAAGGAACAGUCAACAUCAUCUGGUCACUUUACCAUAAGAAAUACUAUCUGUACUUUGAGCUACUUCAUAUAAAUUUGACCAAAAGAGAAGGUCCUAAUAGCAUAGCAUGACUGAGUUGAGAACGCAUUCCAAGGAACUGCUACUCGUAGCAAGCACUGAAGUUUUUUAGUGAGUAAUCAAAUCAUUCUUUCUCAUAAAAGAACUUACAUGCACCCCCUGUCACCCUCCACCCACCAGUCAAACUAAAGACGGAAUAAUUUUCAAACUUUACCAAGUUCCUUUGGACAAUAACCAAAAAAAAAAAAAAAUUGUAUAGAAUUGGGGAAAAAAGUUUGACCUGUCACGAGAUUACGUUGUACCUGUAAACUAUGCUAAGCUGUAUGAAAUUAUUAAACAGAAGGUAGAAAAAACAAAGAAAAGAGAAAAGAGAAGAGGACAGAUGUACACCAUAGCGAAGACUUUGAUGGAGGUCUAUGAAUGUUUUCCCAUCGCCCUAUGAGGAGUCUGAUUAGAGUCCGACCAUACUGUGUUUCAGUAUAACAUUAUCAACCCCAUAAAUUUCAGUAUGUCGAGAUUAUGUUAACAACUAGAGAAAUCAUUCUUAUGAAGAUCCACUAUACGUGUCUUGUACCUUGUGUAAUUUAUAGCUCUAUAAUAAUGCCUAAAACUUCAUUUAUUCCAUAUCUUGUCAACAUUCAAAGCAGCAUACCUUUUACCCAAGAGAGUGAAACAGAAAUAUAAAAUUCAAACAUGCUUGUCAAAAGAACUAGUUGGGGUCGGAGGCGAGGACCAGUGAACCCAUCAAGUUCUAGUAUGCAACUUUUCCUAAUAACAAAGUGUUAAAAACUCUCAUGCUCCCAACAGAAGGGAUUUUAAUGGAAGUGGAGUGACCAAAGAAAGAUGAAUUCAAUUGCACACGAGCUAAUAGUGGAUUACACGGUCUCAGAGAACAUGAACCAGUACUCUCUCUGAGCAUCUUUCUAGCUUGCAAACUUUUCUUAUGACUUCCACAACACACUGCAAUAUCACAGCCAAGUCUUGUUUCACUGCAUACACUGUACAUAUUCAUAAGAUGUAAAUCCAUAUGGAUGAGAUAGCUUUUCAAAGGACACAAAAGACAAAACAAAAUUCACAGGGAAAAUCUGCAUGUGACAAUGAAAGCAUGCAAUAAUCAAACUCCAGUAGGUCAUUUAUGACAAACUUAAGGAACAAAAACUAGGCAUAAACAAUAAGAACUGCAACUAAAAGCAACAGUAUCUACAUGUACUAAAGUAGAGAAAGACUCACUUCAACUCUAGACAUGCCAUCCCCAAGAAAGCACAUGCAUUAUUCACAUGAGCAAUGUAGUAAGUGUCACACAAACCACAGUGGCUGCAAACCAGAAACAAAAACUACCAUCAGACAAAAAACUACUAUAAUGAUUACGAAAUAGUCACAAAAUAUACAAGAAAUUAAUUUAAAUAAGUAUGAAGAUGAGUGAUUAAAUGAUACUAACUUAUAAUCCUCAAAAACAUUGAAUUAGUAUAUAAAUAAUGUUAAUUAUUAUUUACCAAUUUCAAAAAAAAUGCUAAUUAAUAUAUAUGAUAUUCUUGUGAACGUCAAAACUUAUAUUUCAGUCUUCCAAACAAUACUUCAUCAUUCAAGCUCCUUUUUUUUCCAUUCUACAAAAUUUGACCCAACUUAGGACGAAUUGAUAUGGAAAGCUACGAUGCUUCAAAGACCCAAUGAAAUGCUUCCUCCAUUUCAAAUUGAAUACUUCAGGUUCUUUUUUAUACUUCAUGCCAAAUUAAUGCCCAAUCUCCCUCAUAUUUAUAGUUCUUUCACAUUUACUAUGAAAAUUGAACCAUUAUAGUUUCCGAAAAGGGAGAACUCUUCAAACACAUAUUAGUUUAAGACACUCUCUCCGUCCGGUAUUGUUUGUCAUGGUGUCUAUUCAUAGAGUCAAACUAUAAAAACUUUGACUAACAUUUUAAGGUGUAUUUUUUCAUCGUAUUAAUAUGCAAAAAAUUGCAAUUUAUAGUACUUUUCAUAUAGUUUUAAAAUAUCUAAUUAUUUUGUUUAAAAUAUCGAAUUAAUGUGAUUUAAUUUAACUUUGAAAAUUAGUCAAAUUGACUUUCAAAAAACACAACAUGACAAACAAUAUUGGACGGAGAGGGAGUGAUUCAUAAAUAGACACCUUAACUUUGCUUAACUAACAACUAAAUACUCCAACUUUAAGAAUGCACAUCUAGACGGUCUCCGAGACACCCGGCACUAUAUGUCUAGAUGAUCAUUUUGUACGUUGGGAGUGUUUAACUCACACAGCCAAGACCAGUUAAGAUGCACACUUUGAGUGUUCAGUUGCCAAUUGAGCCCAACCUAAGAUAUCUAUCUAUGUAUUUAUGUCAUAGUUUAAAGAUAACAAAUAAAAAUAACAACUUUUUCACUAGUCUAACUUACAAAAACUAAAAACUUCAAAAAAAAAAUACAUAGAAAAAUGAUCAAGCUACGCAAUUUACCUCCCAUUACAGCAUUAAAAGCUAAAAUUUCAAUUAUAUUAAGAAAAAAAAAAGCAGAAUUAUGAACCUGCAGUGGUCUUUAGCUGGAUAAGUCCCACCAGGAGGAAUAGGUCGAGAUUUUUUCCUCCAAUCUUCUCUAAUUUUCACUGAUUUCAGGUUUUGGUUUGCAUCUGUUGAGUAAUUCAAACAACAUCAACACACAAAGUUUCAAUUUUUUUUAAAAAAAAAACUCAUAGCAAAAGUUUGUCAUUUUUUGUAAAAAAAAGUUCCUCUAAGAGGAUUUUGUUCAGUGAAUGUAGAAAUGGAGAGAAACAAAACCUUGUUGUUGUGAAGAAGAUGAAACAGUGUAAAAUUUGAAGGGUAAAGUAGAGAUUUUUCCAGUAAGAAACGCCAUUGUUGCUCUGUGUAUCUGCACAAGUGUUUUGCGCCACAAAUAUAUAUCAAAUGAGAUUCUUUUAAGGGUGGAACCAAAACGGUGUCGUCCGGUAUUUAAUUAAUUUCUACUUUUUAUUUUUUUGGAUGAGUAAAAAAAGUGAAAUAUUAAAUAUUUAGAAAAUUAAGAAAUAAUUUUAAUUAUUUAUAAACAAUGAAUCGCUGAAAGUGAUUCGAACGAAUCCUUUUGGUCCUACCUAGCUUUGCUCCUGAAUAAGUACUCGAUAACAUAUUGUGUUGAAAUUUUGAUGAGAUAAACAACACAUACCAUAUCAUUUCACUGAAGUAAAAUCAUAUAGUCGUUCAUAUGAAUACUCAAAAUAGGGUGGCUUUUAAUUUUUGUUCGUCGGAUCAAUAGUCUUUGAAAAUACAAUCGUAAGGCAUAUGUUAUGUCAUACAAAACUUAUGCCUCUGUAGACAUAAGUUCAAUUUCAAAACAUUAUACCUUAAAAAGUUCAUAAAGUCACAAAUUAUAUCUUAUAAGGUAUAGACGUAAGUCCUACAUAACAUGUCGAUGGGAGUAUAAGUUCCAUUUUCAAAACUUGGAAGAUUAAACCUAGAGAAGUUCAUUACUCGCUAUAUCUUAUAAAUCAUAAGUCCCGUUUACAAAACCAGCAAAAUUGAGAAGUUCAUGAGUCACUAUAUCGGAAAAAAAGUGGUGGUUUAAUUGGAGCAGCCCAUCAGGCAUUAAUGGAACUUGGAAGGCACCGAUAACGAUAUAAAUCAUAAGUCCCGUUUACAAAACCAGCAAAAUUGAGAAGUUCAUGAGUCACUAUAUCGGAAAAAAAGUGGUGGUUUAAUUGGAGCAGCCCAUCAGGCAUUAAUGGAACUUGGAAGGCACCGGUCCGUUAUCCUUCCACUGCACAAAGCGGAAGUUUUUCGUUGCUCUGUGAAACCAGCCUCACGCGGUCCACCCCACUUUAGGAAUCUAGUAGCCCAUUCUUUCAAUUGGACCACAUGAUCCAACUCUGUGCUUGGAUAGGGCAGGCCAGAAAUUAGCCCACCAAGCCCAGCCAUCUGGGACAGCCCAAUAUUCCACCACCUUAACAUCCCCACUUGGGUUACAAGCCCACGUUACUAAGCUCGACAUACAA